rnacentral:ncRNA from 1 species
UAUUAAUUUGGUCUUGGUUUAAAUUUUGCUACUUUUAAUUAUUAUUACAUGGAAGUUUUUGCGAAAUACUAAAAGAGCAGUUCCCAGUAGAAAAAAUUAACAGGUUCACGUCAGUGAGACUUAGGUAUAAAAAAUAAUGCCGGUUAAGAUUGUGCCAGCAGCCGCGGUUAUACAUUCGGCGUAAGUGAAAUAGUUCAGCUUAAAAAUGGUAAAAAUAAAUUAUGGAAAUUAAUUUAAAUUAAUAGGUAGAAUUUGAAUAAAAAGUAUUUUCAAUUUUCCUAAUUUUACUCCAUGAAAGAACAAAUGGUAACCAGGAUUAGAUACCCUGCUAUCUAGUUCUAUAAAAAAUAAUGCUAGAGUACUAAGAACAAUGGUUUAAAACUCAAAAGACUUGGCGGCAUAUUUAAUUUUUCAGGGGAGCCUGCUUUUAAAUCGACAAUCCCCGUUUUACCUUACUUUUUUUAAAGUUUGUUUACUGCCGUCAUUGCUAACACUAAAAGGUUAAAUUAGUUAGCAAAGUAAGAUUAUCUUUUAAUGUCAGGUCAUUGUGCAGCUUAUAAAAAAGUUAAAGUGGGCUACAAUAAAUAAAAUUAAACGAAUCAAAAAAUUAAAAUUUUUGUGAAGGUGGACUUGAAAAUAAUUUGGCACCAGAGAGGCUUUAUGAAUAUUUCUUAAAUUGUGCACAUAUCGCCCGUCGCUCUCGUUGAUAAAAUGAGAUAAGUCGUAACAUAGUAGGCUUAGCGGAAGCUGUGCCUAA